rnacentral:siRNA from 1 species
GGAACCAGAUCCACGACCACCU